rnacentral:rRNA from 1 species
GACGAACGCUGGCGGCGCGCCUAACACAUGCAAGUCGAACGGAGUCAAGAGGAGCUUGCUUUUCUUGACUUAGUGGCGAACGGGUGAGUAACGCGUGAGUAACCUGCCCUGGAGUGGGGGACAACAGUUGGAAACGACUGCUAAUACCGCAUAAGCCCACGGAUCUGCAUGGAUCUGCGGGAAAAGGAUUUAUUCGCUCUAGGAUGGACUCGCGUCCAAUUAGCUAGUUGGUGAGGUAACGGCCCACCAAGGCGACGAUUGGUAGCCGGACUGAGAGGUUGAACGGCCACAUUGGGACUGAGACACGGCCCAGACUCCUACGGGAGGCAGCAGUGGGGGAUAUUGCACAAUGGGGGGAACCCUGAUGCAGCGACGCCGCGUGGAGGAAGAAGGUUUUCGGAUUGUAAACUCCUGUCGUUAGGGACGAUAAUGACGGUACCUAACAAGAAAGCACCAGCUAACUACGUG